rnacentral:misc_RNA from 1 species
CUCUGAUCGUUUUCUGUUGUCUCCGACGGCUCUUGCUGGGUUAGUGGUGGUCUUGCAUGCAUGCCUCGACUUGAAGGCGAUUAUUUUGGGAAAGUAUCAUUAUAUGCUUUAUAUCCUUGUCUUAGCCAUGCAGCCGAGGAUGCUAUUAACAGUGGAUGAAAAUCUGAAACCUUUGUCUGUACCUGUGAGGGUCGGCCAGGCUGUUGAUGUGGUUGGACAGGCAGGACGCCCGAAAACUAUCACUGGUUUUCAGACCCAUUCUACUCCCGUGUUACUUGCUGCAGGCGAUCGAGCUGAGCUUGCAACGGAGAAGUACAUACCUCUUUCGCCAGUUCUUGAAGGUUUUGUAAUCCUGAGAGAAAACCCAGACUACCGUGAAGACAACUGAGUAGGGUUUUGUAAUCCUUUGAGAAAACCCGGACUGCCGUGAAGACAACUGAGUUGGGUUUUGUAAUCCUUUGAGAAAACCCGGACUGCCGUGAAGACAACUGAGUU